rnacentral:rRNA from 1 species
AUUGAACGCUGGCGGCAUGCAUCACACAUGCAAGUCGAACGGUAAGGCCCUUCGGGGUACACGAGUGGCGAACGGGUGAGUAACACGUGGGAGAUCUGCCCUGCACUUCGGGAUAAGCCUGGGAACCUGGGUCUAAUACCGGAUAGGACCCUGGGAUGCAUGUCCUGGGGUGGAAAGCUUUUGCGGUGUGGGAUGGGCCCGCGGCCUAUCAGCUUGUUGGUGGGGUGAUGGCUUACCAAGGCGACGACGGGUAGCCGGCCUGGGCGGAAGACCCGACACACGGGGGGAGAGAGACGACCCAGACUACACCGGGAGUCAGCAGUGGGGAUGAUUGGACAAUGGGCGCAAGCCUGAUGCAGCGACGCCGCGGGAGGGAUGACGGCAGUCGGGUUGUAAACCUCUUUCAGCACCGACGAAGCGCAAGUGAGCGUAGGUGCAGAAUAAGGACCGGCCAACUACGUGCCAGCCGCCGCCGUAA